rnacentral:rRNA from 1 species
UGCCAGCAGCCGCGGUAAUACAGAGGGUGCUAACGUUGCUCGGAAUUACUGGGCGUAAAGCGCGUGUAGGCGGUUUGGUAGGUCAGCUGUGAAAGCCCAGAGCUCAACUCUGGAAGUGCAGCUGAAACCGGCAAACUUGAGUCCCGGAGAGGAUGGUGGAAUUCCCAGUGUAGAGGUGAAAUUCGUAGAUAUUGGGAGGAACACCGGUGGCGAAGGCGGCCAUCUGGCUCGAUACUGACGCUGAGGUGCGAAAGCGUGGGGAGCAAACAGGAUUAGAUA